rnacentral:lncRNA from 1 species
CAAUCCUCCUGUCUCGGCCUCCCCAGCCUCUGGGAUUAGCGGGGUGCACCGCCACACCCGGCAUCUUCUUGGUCCCAGCUGUCUGCCAGCUAUGAGCGUCGUCUUCUGCUGUCCCAGCGUUUCUUUCCUCCUAAGGGGACAACGGAGGAGGUGGCCCGGGCCGCCGGAAGCCCCGCAUCCGGGCCUCUGAACGUCGUCGGGUCUUGGCGGCCUCGCCGCAGGGUCCUUUGACCCGCACGACAGUGGCCGUCGCCAUUUUACAAGACGGGAACGCGGCGAGUGACCACUCAUGACUGCCCCCGCCCCCAGGCCGCCUCCCUUCUGCCUCAGGCCCGGACGUCGCCCCGCCAAAGCCCCAGCUACUGCGCGUUCCCGGAGUCCCCUGGGCCCGGGGUUCCCUUCGUGCCCAAAGCGUCCCCGAGUUCCUCCCCCGCCCCCGGCGUCCCUUCGCUUGUCACUCGGAGACGCCGAGGAGGCGGAGCCGAAUGUCGGCCGCCAGGUGACGGCUUUGCUGCGGCGCCGCAGUUCAGACCCCGCUGCCUCCGAGGUGUCCAGUUUCCAUCCCUCGGGAGGCGACGCUCCUGAGCUCCGCUCUUCCUGACCUGGCCCAGGAGUCCGGGAGGCAACGCGCGUUCCAUCCCGAACUUUCACAACCCGGGAGCCGAGCCGGCAGAGCGAGGCCUUUAACGACGCUGAGUCCCCAGCUCACUGUGACCUCGUGGCGCAAUGGUAGCGCGUCUGACUCCAGAUCAGAAGGUUGCGUGUUCAAGUCACGUCGGGGUCAAGGUUGGCUUUUUUUCCUCGCUAAAAGAGCUGCAGAAUGGGACGAUUGGGGUUAGUGUCAUAAAGCACAAAUUAGGCUGGGCAAGAACAGUCGUCCCUUCUACGCCACGAAAAGUCUCGCUUCUUUUUCUUUUUGUUUAGAAUAUAAAUACCAGACUGAGAAAGACAGUGUUUCCUUCUGGUCACCGACAGGAGGCGCUGCCACAAGCCGCAGAGAGACUCUUGAGGGAGGGCUAGCUGACCCAGCCCUGCUCCCACGCAGGCCCCGCCCUCAUCUUGCAAGGCCACCACCCACUUAUCUCCUCCCCCCUAAGCCACUUGGGCCAGUCUUGGAGAAGGUCUAGGCCCCAGAAGUGGACUGUCCACCCUAGUGUUACUGUGUUUAUACGUUUCCUCCCUGUUUGCUUUGAACUUCUUUUUUUCUGCUCCACUUGAAGGGACUCUGAUCUCUCAGUCAAAGUCCCUCGGGUGGUCAUUUCUCUCCCACCUGGAUUUUGACCCCAUUCUCAGAAGGCCACAGCCGACAUGUCUGGAUAGUCACUUCAACAUUGUUUGUUAGUAGGUUUGUCAGGACCCAUGGGUAAGUUGAUGUAGAGAAAAAAAGCAAGUUGCAUAGACAUUUUAAACAUAAAAAUAAACCAUGUAUGUUAAUACAGAUUGAGUAUCCUUCAUCCAAAAUACUUAGGACCAGAAAUGUUUCAGAUUUCAUAUUUUUUCUUAAUAUUUGCAUUUACAUAACAGUAUAUCUUGGAGAUGGGACCGAAGUCUGAACAUGAAAAAUCCAUUUAUUCAUAUAUAUCUCACAUACAGCCUGAAAAUAAUUUUAUACAGCAUUCUUAAUCACCUGUGUUUUGAUUUCCAUCCCUUCUGUGAAAUCAGGUGUGAAAUUUUCCACUGUGGCAGGCAUCAAAAAGUUUUGGGUUAGGGAGUAUUUCAGAUUUUUGGAUUAGGAAUGCUCAACCUAUACAUAUAGAUAGUACUUAAUAUGUAUUUAUAUUAAAAAUAUGGAUGAAAAUUAUACACACCAACUCUAGGAUAAUGAGGAAGAAGGGAUGAAGGCAAAUUCUUCCCUUAAAACUACAUUAUGUGUACAUACUUACAUCUGUGUGUAUGUGUAUGUAUAACCAAAAAUGUUAACAUUUAUUAAGUUUGGUUAAGAGUUCGUGAUGUUUAUUCUUAUCAAACAUAACUUGCAGCUUUAAAUUCAGUCCACCUUUAUGACCCAACAAAUUAUAAUUGGUCAACAAAUUAUAAUAUUCAUAUAAUAUAUAAUAUGUAUAUAAUAUAUGUAUUAUAUAAUAUAUAUAUAAUAUAUUAUAUAUAUAUAUAUAUAUUAUAUGGUCAACAAAUUAUAAUUUCCCAGAUUAGUAGGACCCAUAGUAUGCUAGCACAGGUGGAGAUAAAUUUUUACAGAAAGAAAUAUACCCUCACAUUAGGCCUUCCAAGUUUCCCACUACAAAUUCCAAAAGUUCAUUCACAAGAAGUUUUAAAAGGAAACAAAUUAAGAGGGAAGACCUUAUAAAUGAGGAAUAGCAAAAACAGUAGACAACAAUAUCAGAACUAAGGACUUCAGAUAUGGCGAUAUCAGAAACAAAAUACUAAAAGGAUAUAUUUCAUCCUGGGGAAAAAAAAGGCAGAACAAAAGCUUGACUGCAGAACAAUAGACAAUAAAAUGUCAAGGUGCAUUUUUUUAAUAUUUAUUUUUUUAGCUGUAGUUGGACAUAAUAUCUUUAUUUAUUUAUUUAUUUUUAUGUGGUGCUGAGGAUUGAACACAGGGCCUUGCCCAUGCUAGGCAAGCACUCUACAGCUAAGCCACAACCCCAGCCCUCAAGGUGCAUUUUAAGUAAUUAAAAAUUUUAGUAAUAAAAGAUUUAAUAUUUGGAAUUAGAAACAGAACAGGUAUAUUAAAUAGCAGAUUAGAUACAGCUGAAAAAAGUACUAAUUAAAUAUAAUAUUGUGGUGGUUCAAAGUAGGUCCACAAAUUUUUAAUUCUCUUUGCCUUGAAUGUGAGUUGUACUUAAUGGCUUGUAUGCAAGAAGAAUCAGAAAUUAUGGUGUGUGGGCUGGGUUGUAACUCAGUGGUAAAGCGCUUGCUUAGCUCGUGUGAGGCACUUGGGUUUGAUCCUCAGCACCACAUAAAAAUAAAUAACUAAAACAAAGGUAUUGUGUCCAUCUGCAACUAAACAUAUGUAUAUAAAAUAUAAAAAUAUAAAAUAUAAAAAUAUAAAAUAUAUAUAUAUAUAUAAAACAUAUAUAAAAGAAAUUAUGAUGUCUGAUUCGGACACCAGUUCAUAAAGAAUACUGUUGCUUCCUGCUUGCUUUCUGCCUGGGUUGCUGGCUGACAAGCUAUUAUAACACUUAAGUCCUACUGGAAGUUCUCUUUAUGAGAAGCUAAAGCCCCCAGUCAAUGACCACAUGAAUAAGCCCCUAUGAAGCUUUCAGAUAAUUGCAUCUCUAGUCAACAACUUGACUAUGCACCAGAGAGACCACGGACCAGAAGCAACCAGAUAAACCACACCCACAUUUCUGACCCUCAGAAACUGUGUGAAUGGCCGGUGUGGUGGUACACACUGUAGUCCCAGCUACUCUGGAGAGUUGAGCCCAGGAUUUUGAAAGCAGCCUGGGCAAAAUGGUGAGACCCUGUUGAAUGGAAGGAAGAGAGGGAGGGAGGGAGGAAGGGAGGAAGGGAGGGAAGAGAAGUCAAGGAAGGAAAGAAGGGAGGAAGGGACCGGGUGAGAAUAACAAAUAUUUGAUGAUUUACAAUAUUGUGUUUAGGGGAAGUCAUUUGUUACGCAGCAAUAGAUAACUAAUACAAAAUAUCAGUUCCCUAAUUGUUGUUCAUACUGUUCUAUACAUGUCCUUUUAAUUAUCCCUGUCCAUUUUAUGGUUCAAUUUUUUUUUCCUUAUGAACUUACAAACUGUAGAAGUUUUUAAAUUCAUUCUGUAUUAGUUAUCUAUUGCUACGUAACAAGGAACUAUCAAAUGGAUAUGCUUCAGGAAGAAGCAAAAUGAUCCCAGACAGAAGGUCUGAGAUGCAAGAAGAACUGGUAAACAAUAACAUGGUGACCAUAAGGACAUAGGUAACAAACCUUAACCACAUAUGAAUAAUAAUAAUAAUAAUAUUAAAAAUUUACGUAGUUAUAAAAUAGAACUGAAAUACUGGACAACAAUGACUUGCAAAUCAAAGUAAACAUAUUUUGGGAGUAGCACCUUGUAAGGUGGUUAUAUUAUUUGAAAGGAAGAACAGACUAUAUUGAUCUGAGACCCCAUUAAGUAUGUUAAAAUGUAGGGUAAUAGGAGGUGGAAUACGAGGGGGGUGUAGCUCAGUGGUACAGUGUCCAUGCAAAAUGCCCUGGGUUCAAUCCCCAGAACUGGAAAGAGGGGGGAAAAGAGGGAUAGUAUUAGUAACUGAUUGAUUUGCAGACUAAACAAUCAGUUAAAGAGAUCAAAAUCUGAGUAAGGGCUGUGGGUGAGCUCAGGGGUAGAGUGUGUGGAUAACAUGUGAGAGGCCCUCAUUCACUUUCCAUUACCAAAAAAGGAAAAAAAAAAAAUGAACAAGAAAAUGGACAGGGUUGAUUAAAAGGACAUGUAUAGAACUUCAUGAACAACAAUUAGGGAACAAUAUUCUUGGAAUAUUUUAUGAAAACUUGAUCAUACAGUAGAUACAAGGUAAAUCUCAACAUGAAUUUCAAAAUGUAAGUCAGGCCAGUUUCUCUGAUCAAACUAGAAAUCAAUAGACUGCUGAACUUAGUCUCUUAUAUUAAGAUUAAAAAAAAAAAAAAACCUUUUUUUUUGUCAGUGCUAAGGAUUGAACCCAGGCCCUUGCUCAUGCUAGGCAAGCACUCUACCACUAGCUAUACCUCAAGCCUCUUGGAGGGGGAUAACACUCCUAAAUUACUUCAUAGAUCAGAGACAAAAUCAAAUACUUAGAUACUUGUAUUAGUCCCAUUUCCAAUACUAUAACAAAUAUCGGAGGCUGGAUACUUUUAAUGGAAAGAAGUGUAUUUAGCUCAUAGUUUUUUUGUUUGUUUGUUUUUUGUACCCGGGAUUGAACUCAGGGGCACUUGACCACUGAGCCACAUCCCCAGCCCUAUUUUGUAUUUUAUUUGGAGACAGGGUCUCACUGAGUUGCUUAGUGCCUUGCCAUUGCUGAGGCUGCUUUGAACUCGAGAUCCUCCUGCCUUGGCCUCCUGAGCCACUGGGAUUACAGGCGUGCGCCACUGUGCCUGGAUUAGCUCACAGUUUUGGAGGUGGAAAAUCCAGAUAGCGUGGCAUUGGCUCUGACAAGGACACCCCUGGUCCUAUCAUAUCAGAGGAGGGAUGUGUGUGAGAGGAAGAGAUCACAUGGUGACCCAGGAAGUCAGAGGGACAGUCAAGGAUCAGUCUUGCUCUUUUUAUAAUAACCUCUUCAGAACUAACCAAGAUCACGGAAGAAUUACAUCAAUUUCUUCCAAGGGCAGCAUGCAGUGACCCAGUGACCUUCUACGAGGUCCUACUUCUUAAAAGUUUCACCACCUCUCAAUAUCACCGCACUGAGGACCUCCCUUCCAACACCUGAACCCUUAAGGGACAUGCUCAAGCCAUAUCCCAAUCAUAAGACAAUAGAAAAACAGCAGGGGUAUAGAUAUUGCGAAGAUGGAGAUAGAACUACCACUCCUUGCAGAUGAUAUGAUCACAUCAUUGGAAACCCUAAAAGAAUCACCUGUAAAUUAAAAAAAAAAUGAAAAAGAGAAAUCAGUCUGAGGUACAAAAUUAAUGUACAGAAUAGUUUUGUGUAAAAUUAACCAUUAGGAGUAUGAUAGCGAAAAAGUAGAAAUGGGAACAAAAUCUUUCAUAGGAUAUUUUUAAUGUAGCUUUGAGAUUUUUGUCACAGUAUGAAUGGAUACUGUUCUCCUUGAAGAUCUGAAAAGAUCUUCCAGCGUACACUUGAGCAUAGCUUUUUUCUUUUCUUUUUUUUUGAGUGCAGGGGUAGUUGAAUAGGGUCUCACCCCAUUUCCCAGCUGCUCUUGAACUCCAGAACUGGAUCCUCCUGUCUCAACCUCCCAAAUAGCUGGGACACCACUAAGUCCAACUGGCAUGGAUUGUUUUUAAGGGAAAAGUUUUGAACAGACACAAAGUGCAUAAGGGAUACAGAAAACCUGAAUGAGAUAGAGAGAGUACGUUUCUAGAACAAAAUCUCUGUCAUUAGUAUCUAAGGGUGUGAUGUGUCCACGGGGCUUGUGUAGGAACUGGCCACAGUCAGGAAGGAUGAGGCAGAACAGAGAGGGGCUCCACUAAAGGGCCCUGGGUGACUUUACAUGUCAGGCAUGUGACCUACAUCCCUGACCUUGACCUUCAUUAUGUGACACCUCUCAGGGGUCCUCCCAUUUGUGACAUCCCCAGAUACAGUUCUCCUGCACAUUUGACCCAGGGUGUGACCUGCCCACAAGACUCCUCUGUGAACCUGUCAGUGUCACUCUUGCCCUCUCUGUUUUCUGAUUUGACCAGUGUGGAGUGCCAAUGAGGGCGUGUGUGGAAACAAAUGAAGACCACCCAAAUGAGAAAAGCAUAGAACUUGUUGUUGCAAGCAGUCAGCCUCCAGCACUUGGGUUUGGCAGAAACUUGACAGUGGAGAGAGGAUUGGGAAAGCUUUAUGGUGGAGUAAGAGAUGGUUUUUGAUGUUCCCUAAUUGGAUGCUGUUGACCAGAAGUGGGGCAUCCUAUUUGAUUAGUUAGGGCGAACAUAUUUGGCUUCCUCUGGGUGGCCCCAAGUUGGGAGCAGGGAUAUAAAUUAGCCGAAUGGGCUGGCAUAAGCCUGUAAUCCCAGUGGCUCGGGAAGCUGAGGCAAGAGGAUCACAAGUCCAAAGCCAGUCUUAGCAACUUAACGAGACCCUGUCUCAAAAUAAAAUAUAAAAAGGGUCUGGGAUGUGGCUCAGUGGUUGAGUGCCCCUGUGUUCAAUCCCUGGUACAAAAAAAAAAAAAGGCAGCUGUUUCUUGUUAACCAAUUCCUGGACAUUUCAGGUUUGAUUGCUACAGGUUGUUGUCAUUGCUGUUCUUCCAGGAUUGCCACCAGACUUCCUACAAGUCAUAUGACUUCCUAUGAGGCUGACUUUCUGGGCUGGAUCCUGGAUGAGGGGUUGGUUUCCUAGACUGCUUGCUCCAGACGGUGGAUCAGUGUUCUAUUUUUAUAUCUGAUCUGUCCGUUCCUAUAUUUAGUUGUUCAAAGGGAAUUCCCCACUGUCUUCCUAUAGGGUCUCUGCAAACUGUGGCCAUCACAGACUCAUGAGUGACUCUCUCCACAGGACUCUCUUGUCUCCAGGUGCUGGUAACUCCUGCCAGCUCUCAGGUCUGCAGACCCCAGUAUGGCCAAGCACCCUCCCCUGGCUAGCCCCAGGGCGCUUCACCAGCCUGGACUGUCCCUGAAGGGUGUUCCCUUAAAGGAUCUAUCCCAUGAGGCCAUGCACCACAGGAUUCCUGCCUUGAAGCACCCAGUAGGACUGUCAAGAGGGACUCAUGACCACAUGCUCUCAUCCUCACCUCCAAAGAGCUGGAAUGAGAUUGGUCUUCAGAAUUAAGAGUGUUCCUAUUGGAAUCUGCUCCUCCAACGGGCUAUAGUCUGGGAGUAUGUUGCUAAAGCUGCAAGAGUGAAGCAGAACAAGCCAAGAUGCCGAAGCUGCCUCUGUUUCCUCCUACCUACAUGCCAUCGGUAUUUGGUGUUCAGCAUGGACAUCUCUUGACUAGCAGCCUCAGCCCUGCCUCUCAGGAAGGGCACCCUUCCUUGAGGAGUGACUACAGCCCUGGAGGACUUUCCCUGGCCAGACCUGGGUGGAGGGGUCUCCACAACCUCAUAUACUUGAGCCACUCAUGGGAGAGAAAAUUCUAGAAGGGUAGAUGUCAGAAUGAAAUGGAGCUACCACAUGUCCCUGGAAAUACACAGAGCUGACAGUGGCUGAGAAUAGGAACAACAAGUGACCUAGAGGAAAUUGGAUAUCUUCUUUAAAUGUCCGAAGCACAUUACAAAACUAGAAGGUAGCAUUUGUAUAAAAUAAACAGAAUAAUACAGACUCCCAAGCACACAUAGGACUGAAGAGGAACAUGUCUAAUGUUAGAGUGGUUAUCUCUGGGUGGCAAGAUGACAUUUUUUGGGGGGGGAGGGGCAGGUCUUUUUGCCUGUGCUUUUUCAUUUUUCUGCAAG